AAGACCUUGCGCUUUUGGAGCGGCCGAUGUCUGAUUAGCUUGUUGGUAAGGUAAAAGCUUACCAAGGCUUCGAUCAGCAGCUGGUCUGAGAGGACGACCAGCCACACUGGGACUGAGACACGGCCCAGACUCCUACGGGAGGCAGCAGUGGGGAAUUUUGGACAAUGGGGGCAACCCUGAUCCAGCCAUGCCGCGUGAGUGAAGAAGGCCUUCGGGUUGUAAAGCUCUUUCAGCCGGAACGAAACGGUUACGGUUAAUACCCGUGACUACUGACGGUACCGGAAGAAGAAGCACCGGCUAACUACGUGCCAGCAGCCGCGGUAAUACGUAGGGUGCAAGCGUUAAUCGGAAUUACUGGGCGUAAAGCGUGCGCAGGUGGUUUUGUAAGUCAGAUGUGAAAUCCCCGGGCUUAACCUGGGAACU
rnacentral:rRNA from 1 species